UUGGUGCUUGCAUCAUGAUUUACAUUUGAGUGAGUGGCGAACUGGUGAGUAACACGUGGGAAACCUGCCCAGAAGCGGGGGAUAACACCUGGAAACAGAUGCUAAUACCGCAUAACAACUUGGACCGCAUGGUCCGAGCUUGAAAGAUGGCUUCGGCUAUCACUUUUGGAUGGUCCCGCGGCGUAUUAGCUAGAUGGUGGGGUAACGGCUCACCAUGGCAAUGAUACGUAGCCGACCUGAGAGGGUAAUCGGCCACAUUGGGACUGAGACACGGCCCAAACUCCUACGGGAGGCAGCAGUAGGGAAUCUUCCACAAUGGACGAAAGUCUGAUGGAGCAACGCCGCGUGAGUGAAGAAGGGUUUCGGCUCGUAAAACUCUGUUGUUAAAGAAGAACAUAUAUCUGAGAGUAACUGUUCAGGUAUUGACGGUAUUUAACCAGAAAGCCACGGCUAACUACGUGCCAGCAGCCGCGGUCAUACGUA
rnacentral:rRNA from 2 species